rnacentral:rRNA from 1 species
UACAGAGGUCCCAAGCGUUGUUCGGAUUCACUGGGCGUAAAGGGUGCGUAGGCGGUCGGGUAAGUCUGAUGUGAAAUCUCACAGCUUAACUGUGAAACUGCAUUGGAUACUAUCCGGCUAGAGGAAUGGAGGGGAGACUGGAAUACUUGGUGUAGCAGUGAAAUGCGUAGAUAUCAAGUGGAACACCAGUGACGAAGGCGAGUCUCUGGACAUUUCCUGACGCUGAGGCACGAAAGCCAGGGGAGCAAACGGG